rfam:Myotis lucifugus cont2.7306, whole genome shotgun sequence.
GAGACACCCUUCUGGGGCAAGACUUGCUUCAGUGGGGCUUUGGUGCUCACUGAGUCUUCCCCCUGAGUGUGUCCCU